AAUGGGUGGGACAAAGGGUCGCGAUCUCACAAGGGUGAGCUAACUUCGAAAACCCGUCCUCAGUUCGGAUUGCAGGUUGUAACUCGCCUGCAUGAAG
rfam:Triticum aestivum genome assembly, contig: Triticum_aestivum_CS42_TGACv1_scaffold_001188_1AL